UACGAAGGGGGCUAGCGUUGCUCGGAAUCACUGGGCGUAAAGGGCGCGUAGGCGGAUCUUUAAGUCGGGGGGUGAAAGCCUGUGGCUCAACCACAGAAUUGCCUUCGAUACUGGGGGAUCUCGAGACCGGAAGAGGUGAGUGGAACUGCGAGUGUAGAGGUGAAAUUCGUAGAUAUUCGCAAGAACACCAGUGGCGAAGGCGGCGACCUGGUCCAUUACUGACGCUGAGGCGCGACAGCGUGGG
rnacentral:rRNA from 1 species